GUCGUGUGGAGCGACGUUGUUCCUUCCCAUGCCUUGAAGAACGUCCUUUACGCCACAACACAAAAUGAAGCCGACAACCAGCACCGCCCAGUAUGCUAUUGUGCACUUUGUUGCACGGAACGAAGUAGAGGUUGUCCCGUGUUCAUGGCUUUCUGGCAACAGUUGCAAAUGGCCCAAGUUGCCAACACACAAAGUUGAGAGGCUUAUCAGGAAGGCAUAUCCACCCGGAAACAACUGUGAGGACAUGGAGGUCGUUGUGAAGGGCAUUUUCAAGUGCUACAAGGAUGCCAGAAAGGUUCUGCCUGCCUCUGAGUACACCUCGGACCUUGGAACUGAGCUUCCGGCAAAGAGAGUGCGAC